GCAAUGAAUUUUCUCUUCAUUUCAUUAUAGCAAGAUGACUUCCUUUCACGAAUCAAUCAAGGAGUUCAUAAGUGAGGUGGAAAAGUUUCUUGUCGAAACAAUAAAGAAAGAAGCCUUGUCCAAGACCUCUAAGGAACACAAGCAGACAAUCCUUGAUAAGAUUGGACGACUGAGGGAGGAGUUCCCACAAUUCACCCCAGACAAACAGUCCGAGGACACCAAAUCAGCUGACCAGAGUUUUACGGACGAGUCUUCAAGGACAGGCGGAAGUUCUAACGCUGAUGACGAGGACCAGUAUGGCGACUCCAACAUUCCUGCCAUUCCUGCUCAAGAUUUGACAGAUACAAUCAAAUGUGGCUUCCUGGAGAAAAAGCAGAGGAAAGGUUCCCUCCUUUGAUGAACUGGUUCUUGUUCCUCAGGAGGACUGUUUGGGGGCCCCAAGCUACAGAAGCGGUGGUGUGCCAUAAAGCACAAUAUCUUCUACUAUUACGAGUCGGCCAAGGAGAGGAAGCAACAUGGCGCCUUUUACUUGAAUGGUUACUAUCUAGAGGCGGCUCCAGAGGCGGUGGACAAAAAGGACUCGGCGCGACGCGAGCUCAGCUUCCAACUCGUCUGUCCAGCAAAACGAACAUACCAGUUUGUGGCCCUGUCAAAGGAAGAUUAUGACGACUGGAAAGUGGCCAUCAGCAAAGGAGCUUUAAGCUCUUCCUCCAGAGACAACAUUCUAAAUGACGAUGAGCCUGGCGAGGUGUAUGAGGAUGUAGGAGCAGGCGAUGACGCUGUUGUAGAGGAAGUGUAUGACGAUACCCUGGAUGAACCUGAGCCCUCCCCCAAACCAGUUGUCAAAGCUCUCCCCUCCAUCCCCCGACCCCCACCUCCCAGCAUACCCACGGAACCCACCUGUGACGAGAUAUAUGAUGAUACAGCUAAUCCUGAUGAUGACAUUCAGGAGGAAUACGAUGAUUGCGUCACUGCUGUUCCGCCACCUCCCCCUCCCACCCCCGGUAGAUCCCUGCCUGAAAUCCCAGGAUCCCGCAAACCGCUCCCAUCGGUUCCCCCUACCCCCCCACCUUCCAUCCCAAAGCCCCUCCCCAACAUUCCACCCCCAGAGGUGCCAAAAGAAAGCAAGCCUGACGCGAGUUCUGAGCCCCAAAUACCUCCUGAUCAGGACUACGAGAACAUGUUCCUGGGGAAAUGGAACUGCAAGGCCGACAGAAGCAACGAACUGGGCUUUAACAAGGGAGAUAAGCUGUACAUUAUUAGUCGGGAGUUUGAUGACAAGAGUUGGUGGGUGGCAGAACUCAAUGGAAAAUUUGGUCUGGUGCCCAAAAAUUAUCUUACACCCGCGUAUGAAUUGGCUAGAUGAAGACUGUAUCUGACUGAAACAGAACAAAAUCUCUGUGAAUGAUUCCAAGUCAAUAUAGAUGAUACAUUAUUUUUUCAUUCUAAUAGCUAAUGCAACUUUAAAAAUUGACGUGCAAUAUAUGAAUUUAAAACUACAUGUAUUUAGUUUUUACAUUAAAUUAUUUUUUACCGGUU
rnacentral:misc_RNA from 1 species